UACGAAGGGGGCUAGCGUUGCUCGGAAUCACUGGGCGUAAAGCGCACGUAGGCGGAUUGCUAAGUCAGGGGUGAAAUCCUGGAGCUCAACUCCAGAACUGCCUUUGAUACUGGCGAUCUUGAGUCCGGGAGAGGUGAGUGGAACUCCGAGUGUAGAGGUGAAAUUCGUAGAUAUUCGGAAGAACACCAGUGGCGAAGGCGGCUCACUGGCCCGGUACUGACGCUGAUGUGCGAAAGCGUGGGAGCA
rnacentral:rRNA from 1 species